rnacentral:rRNA from 1 species
UACGAAGGGGGCGAGCGUUGUUCGGAUUUACUGGGCGUAAAGGGCGCGUAGGCGGCGCCAGAAGUCAGGCGUGAAAGCCCCGGGCUCAACCUGGGAGGUGCGCUUGGGACUCUGGUGCUGGAGUUCGGGAGAGGAGCGUGGAAUUCCCAGUGUAGAGGUGAAAUUCGUAGAUAUUGGGAAGAACACCAGUGGCGAAGGCGGCGCUCUGGACCGAGACUGACGCUGAGGCGCGAAAGCGUGGGGAGCAAACAGG